rnacentral:rRNA from 1 species
GACGAACGCUGGCGGCGUGCUUAACACAUGCAAGUCGAACGGAAAGGCCCUGCUUUUGUGGGGUGCUCGAGUGGCGAACGGGUGAGUAACACGUGAGUAACCUGCCCUUGACUUUGGGAUAACUUCAGGAAACUGGGGCUAAUACCGGAUAGGAUCUCCUGCUGCAUGGUGGGGGUUGGAAAGUUUCGGCGGUUGGGGCUGGACUCGCGGCUUAUCAGCUUGUUGGUGGGGUAGUGGCUUACCAAGGCUUUGACGGGUAGCCGGCAUGAGAGGGUGACCGGCCACAUUGGGACUGAGAUACGGCCCAGACUCCAACGGGAGGCAGCAGUGGGGAGUAUUGCACAAUGGGCGGAAGCCUGAGACAGCAACGCCGCGUGCGGGAUGACGGCCUUCGGGUUGUAAACAGAUUUCGCCUGUGACGAAGCGUGAGUGACGGUAAUGGGUAAAGAAGCACCGGCUAACUACGUG